rnacentral:rRNA from 1 species
CCUACGGGGGGCAGCAGUGAGGAAUAUUGGUCAAUGGGCGAGAGCCUGAACCAGCCAAGUCGCGUGAGGGAGUACUGCCCUAUGGGUUGUAAACCUCUUUUGUCGGGGAGCAAAAGCCGGACGUGUUCGGUUGUGAGAGUACCCGAAUAAAAAGCAUCGGCUAACUCCGUGCCAGCAGCCGCGGUAUUAGGGGGGAUGCGAGCGUUAUCCGGAUUUAUUGGGGUUAAAGGGUGCGCAGGCGGUUUUUUAAGUCAGCGGUAAAAUCGUGGGGCUCAACCCCAUCCUGCCGUUGAAACUGGGGAUCUAGAGUGUGCGAGAGGUGUGCGGAAUGCGGGGUGUAGCGGUGAAAUGCAUAGAUAUCACGCAGAACCCCGAUUGCGAAGGCAGCAUCCCGGUGCACAACUGACGCUCAGGCGCGAAAGCGUGGGUAUCGAACAGGAUUAGAUACCCCAGUAGUC